AUUGAACGCUGGCGGCAGGCCUAACACAUGCAAGUCGAGCGGAUGAAGGGAGCUUGCUCCUGGAUUCAGCGGCGGACGGGUGAGUAAUGCCUAGGAAUCUGCCUGGUAGUGGGGGAUAACGUCCGGAAACGGGCGCUAAUACCGCAUACGUCCUGAGGGAGAAAGUGGGGGAUCUUCGGACCUCACGCUAUCAGAUGAGCCUAGGUCGGAUUAGCUAGUUGGUGGGGUAAAGGCCUACCAAGGCGACGAUCCGUAACUGGUCUGAGAGGAUGAUCAGUCACACUGGAACUGAGACACGGUCCAGACUCCUACGGGAGGCAGCAGUGGGGAAUAUUGGACAAUGGGCGAAAGCCUGAUCCAGCCAUGCCGCGGGUGUGAAGAAGGUCUUCGGAUUGUAAAGCACUUUAAGGUGGGAGGAAGGGCAGUAAGUUAAUACCUUGCUGUUUUGACGUUACCAACAGAAUAAGCACCGGCUAACUUCGUG
rnacentral:rRNA from 1 species